rnacentral:tRNA from 1 species
CCCUGGUUGGCUCAGAUGGUAAAGAAUCUGCCUGCAGUGCAGAAGGCCCGGCUUCUAUUUCUGGAUUGGGAA